rnacentral:rRNA from 1 species
UACGGAGGAGGCAAGCGUUAUCCGGAAUUAUUGGGCGUAAAGCGUCCGCAGGUGGCACUUCAAGUCUGUCGUCAAAGACCGGGGCUUAACUUCGGAAAGGCAGUGGAAACUGAACAGCUAGAGUAUGGUAGGGGCAGAGGGAAUUCCUGGUGUAGCGGUGAAAUGCGUAGAGAUCAGGAAGAACAUCGGUGGCGAAGGCGCUCUGCUGGACCAUAACUGACACUCAGGGACGAAGGCUAGGGGAGCGAAUGGG